rnacentral:lncRNA from 1 species
AAAAAUAAUAUUUUUAAUAUUUUUGGAAUUAAAAAUUAAAUUUGGUGACGGAAAUUUUUGUUAAUAACCUGUCACCGCCAAAAAUAAUUUUUAAAAAUUUAUAAAUACUUGGGUUACGAUAUUUGUGACGGCUGCAUUUGUCACUGUCUGGUUGCAAUUUUGGUUAUCAUAUUGCUGACAAAUACCCCGUCACUAUGAUGGUCACUAAGUUCUGGCGCCCAUCCUACCCGCGCAUUCUGUGAC